GAUAGGGUUAGAAGAAUGAGUGAGUUUGCUAGAGCUGCAUUUUCCAGGCGACGUUUGCAAUUGCAGGAAGGAAUUGUAUGAAUGAUGAUGGAUGGUAGAUGUGAGAAUGUGGGGGUACGAAUGUGGGGGUGUUUCUGAAUGGUAAUUUUUGUUGAACAUUGUGUUGUGAUGGGGCUACCAACCCUUAACUGUUUUGGAGUUUAAAUUGGAAGUGCCCUUCUGGUACGAGGCCUGACCGGAGGCUUUUAAUCUGGUACCACGGGUAACCAGGAGCCCACGGAACUUGUUCCGUCCUGGUUAGUUGGUGCGGCCCUUCGGGGAGUAUCGUGGUGGUUGUGGUUUAACACCCAAAUGCGGGUAGAGCAUCGCUCGACGUGGAGUUGCGUCAUACAACCGGGUUCCGUGACCCAGAUUACGGAAGAGGCUUAGAUAGUCCUCGUGCCAAACCAAGGUAGAAGUCACAACCAAACAGUCGUGUCUUUAAUUGGUACCUGCGGAAUUGUUCCAAGGGGGCGGUGAUUGACGCUUGAAUUAAUCCUAUACUAGGAACCGUGAGAUUAAGCCAUCGCGGCAGGUGCUCACGUUAAGCCCACUGACUUUCAUGUCCCUAUCUACUAUCUAGCGAAACCACAGCCAAGGGAACGGGCUUGGAAUAAUUAGCGGGGAAAGAAGACCCUUUUGAGCUUGACUCUAAUCUGGCAGUGUAAGGAGACAUAAGAGGUGUAGAAUA
rnacentral:ncRNA from 1 species